UACGUAGGGUGCAAGCGUUGUCCGGAAUUAUUGGGCGUAAAGAGCUCGUAGGCGGUUUGUCGCGUCUGCUGUGAAAUCCCGAGGCUCAACCUCGGGCCUGCAGUGGGUACGGGCAAACUAGAGUGCGGUAGGGGAGAUUGGAAUUCCUGGUGUAGCGGUGGAAUGCGCAGAUAUCAGGAAGAACACCGAUGGCGAAGGCAGUUCUCUGGGCCGUAACUGACGCUGAGGAGCGAAAGCGUGGGGAGCAAACAGG
rnacentral:rRNA from 1 species